rnacentral:rRNA from 1 species
AUUGAACGCUGGCGGCAGGCUUAACACAUGCAAGUCGAGCGGAGAUGAGGUGCUUGCACCUUAUCUUAGCGGCGGACGGGUGAGUAAUGCUUAGGAAUCUGCCUAUUAGUGGGGGACAACAUUCCGAAAGGAAUGCUAAUACCGCAUACGCCCUACGGGGAAAGCAGGGGAUCUUCGGACCUUGCGCUAAUAGAUGAGCCUAAGUCGGAUUAGCUAGUUGGUGGGGUAAAGGCCUACCAAGGCGACGAUCUGUAGCGGGUCUGAGAGGAUGAUCCGCCACACUGGGACGGAGACACGGCCCAGACUCCUACGGGAGGCAGCAGUGGGGAAUCUUGGACAAUGGGCGGAAGCCUGAUCCAGCCAUGCCGCGUGUGUGAAGAAGGCCUUUUGGUUGUAAAGCACUUUAAGCGAGGAGGAGGCUACUUGGAUUAAUACUCUAGGAUAGUGGACGUUACUCGCAGAAUAAACACCGGCUAACUCUGUGCCAGCAGCCGCCGUAACAC